rnacentral:lncRNA from 1 species
AUGGUCUCCAUUUGGGUCCCACAGUUAGAAAAAUAAAUGUCUCAGAAUUCAGAAUUCAUAAACUAGACAAGCAGAGUGGAGAUGGAGUCCCUUGACAGUAUGGGGUCUGCUAUGGUUUGAAGGUUUCAAUGUGUUCCCCAGAGUUCAUUCGUCAGAAACUUAAUCCCCAAUGAUACAAUGUUGAGGGAAAGGGCUUUUAAGAAGUGAUGAGGUCAUGAGGGUUCUGCCCUUGUGAAUAAAUUAAUGUCCUUAUGGUGGGAGUGAAUUCCUGAUUAAAAAAAAAAAAAGAAUUCUUCCCCCUUCUUCUUUCUCUCAUCCUCUCUCAACCUCUGGCCUUCUUUCACAGGAAAGCACAGCAAGAUAUUCUUGCCUGAUGCCAGCACCUUGGUAUCCAAAUUUCUAGCUUUCAGAAUUCUGAAAUAAACUUAUUCUCCUUUUAAGACUCCCAAUUUUUCAUAUUCUGUUACAGCAACACAAAAUGGGCUAAGACAAGGCCCAUUACAACAACACAGGAUGCAGGCAUCAGACCCAGGAGGUAAAGAAGAGUUGUGCCGAGAGAAUAGCAGAAACUGAGGAGGAAAAGAAAGGCAACAGUUAGACUGUGAAGGGCCCUAAGUGCUACAUUAAUAUGUUUAAUUUUUUUUCUGACAGCUUUGAAGAUUAUUGAGAUAUUAUAAGCUGAAAAAUACCCUGUGUAUUUUUCUGUUGUUGUUAUUUUGUGUUGUUUUAAAUUACUUUGUCUUUUAUGAGAAGAGUGAAUUAGAGGGAAGCCCGUGGUCCUCAAUAGUGACAAUAGUGAUAGCCUGAAUUUUAAAACUCAUAGCAGAGAGGUAGUAAAGGAGGGACAGGCUACAUAUAGUUAACAGUAGAUUCAGCAGCACAUUAUGGAUAGAUUAAUUACAUAACUAAUUAGAUAUUGGCUAGUCAGAAGGAAGAGACUACAUUGAUUCUCAAAUGUCUGCCAUAGAUACCUAGAGAAUGGAAUCACGACUAGCACAAUGGAUACUAAGGAACAACCAACCAACCCUGGAGAAAAAGGAGGCUGCCCAUGGCUACCCAGAGACCAAUCAGCACACAUUUCCUCCCCUCUGAGGUCCAUAAAAGCCCUGGGCUCAGACAGAGCAGGGCAGAGGAUUGACAGAGGAUGAGAGAGCAGAGAUGACAAUGGGACAACUAGUUGCAGAGAGAAGUACCCUUUCCACAGAAAGCUGCAGAGACGACCUGCUGGAAGAGAGGAGCUACCCUCUCUACUGAGAGCUUCAAAGACCUGCAAAGACAUUUUAGUAACUUGCCUGUGGAGAGAAGCUACCCUCUCCAUGCCUUAUUCUCUGCAUUGGGUCAAGCUGAACACUUGACCCAAUGACAUGCCAACAGGGAAGAGCUACCCACUCCUCUGAGCUAUUCUAACACUAAAUAAAAUGCUUUUUCACCCUUAACCUGUCUGUGUACCUCAUUCUUCCUGGAUGUAGGACAAGAAUUUGGGCAAAAAUGCCACAGCCACAGAGGUUUCUAGCCAGAAAAAUCGACAAACUAGAGAUCUCGUAACAAAAAUGUUGUAUGAUUCUAUAACGGUGGAUACAUGUUAGUACACAUGUAUCCAAACCCACAGAAUUCACAACUUAAGAGUGAGCACUAACCCAAACUAUGGACUUUGGGUGACAAUGACCUACCAAUGUAGGUGUAUAUUAUAACAACUGUGUCACUCCAUCAGUA